CUGUCCACCUUGGCCUUGGGCCACAGCUUCCCCCAUCCCUCCAAGCCUGCCCCAGUUCCCAGUUCUGUUUCUCCAGCUGGAGCCCAGGGGCUCAGCAGCCGAGCUGAAGGCAGAGCUCAGCGUGGGUCAGUGCUGCGCUUCAGGGUCUGCCAGCCUCCCUUGAACUCUGGAGGCAUAAUUAGGGAUAAUAGCCAGUGGAUCAAAUUUAAGUGCCCAACAUAAAGGAUAAGGUAUAGAGCAUUCUAAAGCGUUUUGUGUAUGUUAGCUCUUCAUUAUUUUCAAUCAAGGCUGCAAAUGAGCUGUGUAAGGAGAGUACAUCAGUGGAGAUUGCUGUGUGGUUGAAGUGCAUGGAAUAUGAAGACAUUUCAAGUAAUGCAUGCUGGAAGAGAAACUGUCUGACACCCAAACAGUCUGAGUUUUAAGCAUUUAAUUAAGGAUCUUCUAUAUUCAGAAAGAUGCAAAACCCAAUAAAAAACUGUAUUCAACUGAA